rnacentral:rRNA from 1 species
CAGCCGCCACGGGAAUACGAAGGGUGCAAGCGUUACUCGGAAUUACUGGGCGUAAAGCGUGCGUAGGUGGUGGUUUAAGUCCGUUGUGAAAGCCCUGGGCUCAACCUGGGAAUUGCAGUGGAUACUGGGUCACUAGAGUGUGGUAGAGGAUAGUGGAAUUUCCGGUGUAGCAGUGAAAUGCGUAGAGAUCGGAAGGAACAUCUGUGGCGAAGGCGACUAUCUGGGCCAACACUGACACUGAGGCACGAAAGCGUGGGGAGCAAACAGGAUUAGAUACCCGAGUAGUCCCUGUCUCUUAUAC